rnacentral:tRNA from 1 species
CGUUUUAGAAACAUCAGUGGCCAACAGAUCGCCAGAUCGUUGAGCUGCAUUGGCGGGAUUUCGCCGUCUUCGUUUCUCUUUCUUCGCGGACGAACACGCGCUGGGGCUGCAGGCUUGCAGAUCCCUGGUCCUUGACUGGAUAUGCGUUAGGGGCUUGUAGCUCAGUUGGUUAGAGCGCGCGCUUGAUAAGCGUGAGGUCGGAAGUUCAAGUCUUCCCAGGCCCACCACUUUCAUCGAGUGUGCAUUCGUCUUCUGGUUACGGGGCCAUAGCUCAGCUGGGAGAGCGCGUGCUUUGCAAGCAUGAGGUCGUCGGUUCGAUCCCGUCUGGCUCCACCAGAUGGUUUGAUCACCGAGAUCCUGUGCCGUCGUCCGCGAAACAUCACUUCGCACUUGCUAGUCCGGAUGGACAGUAAGCUGCGUGAUUUCUGACAUCGUAAAGAGGAGAUCGAUCCGAGUUGGAUCGUGCGGAGAAUAUCUGCGCGAGACUUCAUUAUCUCCGGAUCAUUUCGGCGCUCGCGCGCCUUUCAGUGUAGCUCACAAGGCUGCGUCUGAGAGAUGAGCGAGUUGUAAAUGAUCCUUUUAGCGAAGCUUGACCGCCUCGCUAUCGGAACGAUCUUACGAAGCAAGCUGGUCUUUCUAGUCAAUGUCCGGCUGCAGAUAGCGUUCAUCGAGGGCGCGUGCCGCAAGGUAAUUCUGCAGACAACAUUCUGCCGAGUGUGUGGACAUUGAUAAUGAGAGCAAUCAAGUGCCUUAAGGGUGUUCGGUG